rnacentral:rRNA from 1 species
GACAGAGGGUGCAAACGUUGCUCGGAAUCACUGGGCGUAAAGGGCGUGUAGGCGGGAAGGAAAGUCAGAUGUGAAAUCCCCAGGCUCAACCUGGGAACUGCAUUUGAAACUCCCUUGCUUGAGUACCGGAGAGGAAAGUGGAAUUCCUGGUGUAGAGGUGAAAUUCGUAGAUAUCAGGAGGAACACCAGUGGCGAAGGCGGCUUUCUGGACGGUAACUGACGCUGAGACGCGAAAGCGUGGGGAGCAAACAGG